UACGGAGGGUGCAAGCGUUAUCCGGAUUUACUGGGUUUAAAGGGUGCGUAGGUGGGUCUGUAAGUCAGUGGUGAAAUCUUCAAGCUUAACUUGGAAACUGCCAUUGAUACUAUAGGUCUUGAAUUACCUGGAGGUAAGCGGAAUAUGUCAUGUAGCGGUGAAAUGCUUAGAUAUGACAUAGAACACCAAUUGCGAAGGCAGCUUACUACGGAUCGAUUGACACUGAGGCACGAAAGCGUGGGGAUCAAACAGG
rnacentral:rRNA from 1 species